rnacentral:rRNA from 1 species
UGGGGAAUUUUGGACAAUGGGGGAAACCCUGAUCCAGCCAUCCCGCGUGUGCGAUGAAGGCCUUCCGGUUGUAAAGCACUUUUGGCAGGAAAGAAACGUCAUGGGUUAAUACCCCGUGAAACUGACGGUACCUGCAGAAUAAGCACCGGCUAACUACGUGCCAGCAGCCGCGGUAAUACGUAGGGUGCAAGCGUUAAUCGGAAUUACUGGGCGUAAAGCGUGCGCAGGCGGUUCGGAAAGAAAGAUGUGAAAUCCCAGAGCUCAACUUUGGAACUGCAUUUUUAACUACCGGGCUAGAGUGUGUCAGAGGGAUGUGGAAUUCCGCGUGUAGCAGUGAAAUGCGUAGAUAUGCGGAGGAACACCGAUGGCGAAGGCAGCCUCCUGGGAUAACACUGACGCUCAUGCACGAAAGCGUGGGGAGCAAACAGG